rnacentral:rRNA from 1 species
GUGCCCGCCGGCGUACCAAAACUCUUUUGUAUUUUAGUGGCCUCUCUGAGAAAACAAGCAAAUAAGUUAAAACUUUCAACAACGGAUCUCUUGGUUCUGGCAUCGAUGAAGAACGCAGCGAAAUGCGAUAAGUAAUGUGAAUUGCAGAAUUCAGUGAAUCAUCGAAUCUUUGAACGCACAUUGCGCCCGCCAGUACUCUGGCGGGCAUGCCUGUUCGAGCGUCAUUUCAACCCUCAAGCCCUGCUUGGUGUUGGGGUCCUACGGCUGCCGUAGGCCCUGAAAGCUAGUGGCGGGCUCGCUAUAACUCCGAGCGUAGUAGUAAAAUAUCUCGCUAGGGAGGUGUCGCGGGUUCCGGCCGUGAAAGCCCAUCUUUUACACAAGGUUGACCUCGGAUCAGGUAGGAAUACCC